rnacentral:rRNA from 1 species
GAAGCUGGAUUCGCUAGUAAUCGCGCAUCAGCCACGGCGCGGUGAAUACGUUCCCGGGCCUUGUACACACCGCCCGUCAAGCCAUGGAAGCCGGGGAGUGCCUGAAGUGCGUGACCGCAAGGAGCGUCCUAAGGCAAUACCGGUGACUGGGGGCUAAGUCGUAACAAGGUACC